AGCGAAUGUGGAAGCAGGCCAGUGCUCGCCUCAACAUCGUGGUGGCGCCAUGCGUGGAGUAUCAGUACGUAGGGGCGAAGGGCUGCCACGGGCUGGUGUGUAAAGCGGCAGACACCGUCAGAGACGGCGAGGUGCUGGCGCUGGUGCCGUACCUGGCGUGUAUCUCACCUAUCACGGCCCUCGCAUCACCAUGGGGUCAGCAGCUCGCAGCUGCCCUACGCACCUAUACAGUGGAAGAAAAUGGUGUGAGGGUGUCGUACUCGAAGGAGGCGGCGCUAACGACGGUGUUCACGGCCCUCGCCAUGCAGCCGCGCAGCCCGCUCGAGGGGUACCUGCGCCAGAUGCGACUCGACGAAGGGGACGGUACCUCCCUCGCGGUUGCCUUGGGGCCGGAGCUGACAGCGCACAUGACGAAAAUUGACGCCUUGAACAGCUUGGUGGUCGCGCAGAUGCACGAGGACCUGAGCCGCUGGCAUAUCCGCGUGCCCAUGGCUGACCUAGUGCGAGCCCAUCGAGCGUGCGCCAGCCGCUGCGUUGAUGUUCCCGACAGUGAGGAGGUCUUUGGCGGGCCAUCCUUGGUGCCGGUUGUGGACCUUAUCAAUCAUGGCAUCACCGAGCCCAACGUGACGGUGUACAUGGAAUCGACGAACCGUCUGGGUCCCUUGCUGCGGCGCCAUAGUCGCCUGAACAUAAUGGACAACCUCGUGAAGGCCGGCGCCUUUUGCGUCGUGAUGCGUGCAACGAGGGACGUGAUGGGAGGCACCGAGUUCACGUACCCCUACAUCGACCCCACCGAAGACCCGACCUUGUACGCCAGCAAGCUGUACUGGGCAUCCCGCUUCCGAUUUGUUCCCCCCGAUGCGGCGUAGCUGCGGCGCGGAGAAACGCGGCAAGAGGAGGGGGCGGGUUUCUUCUGAGGAGUGUGUACAGGGCGAGCGCAUGCGCGUCGUCUUUUUCUUUCGCUUCUCUUCACAGAUCUCUGCAUUUGUCCGCCACCGUUGAACCUACCUACCCCCCCCCAAUCCGUGUUGUCCUUGGCCCCUCUUUCACGCGCAAGCACAUCAACCAGGGCAAGAUAAAACGAUAAGAGAAGCAAAGGCGUGUCACUUCUCCUCCGCACUGUACGCUGUGGUCUCGCCAUCACACACGACAACACCACUUAAGGAAUUGUCUCACUGCUUGCUAAGUGGACGAAAGGCUUCGUCGUGCGACUGACGCACUCACACGCGCACGCUUCCGUACACAGCUCUUGUCUAUCGUACUCGUCUCUCCCCUUCUUCGGUUUCCUCCGCUGCCCUCUUCAUCGCUCUCUCUAUUCCUUCCCGCGCGAUGCGCUCACGUGUCGGCGCACGCACUGUGCCAG
rnacentral:misc_RNA from 1 species